rnacentral:rRNA from 1 species
AUUGAACGCUGGCGGCAGGCCUAACACAUGCAAGUCGAACGAGUGGGGUACGGGUGAGUAAUGUCUGUGAAUCUGCCUGAUGGAUGGGGUUCACUACUGGAAACUGUUGCUAAUUCCGCACACCUGCGGAUGUGCCCAGUUGGGAUUAGCUAGUAGGCGGGGUAAAGGCUCACCAAGGCGACGAUCCCUAGCUGGUCUGAGAGGAUGACCAGCCACACUGGAACUGAGACACGGUCCAGACUCCUACGGGAGGCAGCAGUGGGGAAUAUUGCACAAUGGGCGCAAGCCUGAUGCAGCCAUGCCGCGUGUGUGAAGAAGGCCUUCGGGUUGUAAAGUACUUUCAGCGGGGAGGCGUUACCAGCAGAAGAAGCACCGGCUAACUCCGUGCCAGCAGCCGCGGUAAUUC